AUUGAACGCUGGCGGCAGGCCUAACACAUGCAAGUCGAACGAGUGGCGGACGGGUGAGUAAUGUCUGGGAAACUGCCCGAUGGAGGGGGAUAACUACUGGAAACGGUAGCUAAUACCGCAUACCAUCGGAUGUGCCCAGAUGGGAUUAGCUGUUAGGUGAGGUAACGGCUCACCUAGGGGACGAUCCCUAGCUGGUCUGAGAGGAUGACCAGACAGACUGGGACUGAGACACGGCCCAGACUCCUACGGUAGGCAUAAGUGGGGAAGAUUGCACAAUGGGCGCAAGCCUGAUGCAGCCAGGCCGCGUGUAUGAAGAAGGCCUUCGGGUUGUAAAGUACUGUCAGCGGGGAGGCGUUACCCGCAGAAGAAGCACCGGCUAACUCCGUGCCAGCAGCCGCGGUAAUAC
rnacentral:rRNA from 1 species